UACGUAGGGGGCAAGCGUUAUCCGGAUUUACUGGGUGUAAAGGGAGCGUAGACGGCCAUUCAGGCCAGAUGUGAAAGCCCGGGGCUCAACCCCGGGACUGCAUUUGGAACUGUAUGGCUGGAGUGUCGGAGAGGCAGGCGGAAUUCCUAGUGUAGCGGUGAAAUGCGUAGAUAUUAGGAGGAACACCAGUGGCGAAGGCGGCCUGCUGGACGAUGACUGACGUUGAGGCUCGAAAGCGUGGGGAGCAAACAGG
rnacentral:rRNA from 1 species